AGCUUCCAUUCUCAUAAUACUUUCUCUCUCUUCUUUCGUUUUUUUCUCUCCUCCUUGAAAUCACCUAUCUGCGAUUUUUCUCAACCUCGCCAAGUUCAACCUCGAAUCUUCUAACCUUCUUCAAUUUUUCGCUAAUACCAGGUAAUGCAGAAAUCAAGCUCGGGAAAUGCAGAAAUCAGAAUUUUCUCUGGUGUUAAUUUUGCAUCUCCAAUUAACACAGUAUUGCAAGCUGUACCUGCUUUUAUUUUCCAUAGAACACCUUAUAGUACCAGUGAAAACCUAAUCACAGGCAGCAGUUUGAAGAUCAACAACACCAAUAGAAAAUCAACAUUGUGCAGAUCAAUGUUGAACAGAACAGACAACAACACCAACUGAACAACAAAACUUAGUUGAACACUCGGAGCAGUGCAAACAACCUCACCAUCCACCUCUGCAGCCCAGGCUUAGAACAGACACAAAAAGUAUCAGCAGAAACAAAAAAUUUGGGGAAAAUUUUGUUUUUUUAUUUACAGAAGUUUUUUGGUAAAAAAUUUGAAUGAUCAAGUAAUAUGAAGUAGUUUAUGUUGUUACUUCAGUUUUACAAGGUUGAGAUGAGAAGAAUAGAGUUUGGCUUGUUAUUUGUACGUUCUCCUAUUUUAUGAUUGUUUACUUUCAUAGAUUGUAUUGUUUACUUUUAUUUUUUAUCUACUUCGAAAAUAAAUGAACGACAAAUUAUGUACUUCUAUA